UCAGUGUGGAUCAGUAUAAUAUCAGCCUGCUGCUGAUGUUUGCAGUUUAGUCUCAGCAUAACAUUCGCAUCAUAUUUACCUCAGACAAACUGAAACAUGGUGACUGACCUCAGAGUUUUAAGUCCACAUCCUGGACUCUACAGAAAACCACACAGCUGCUUCAGUCCUGAAUCCUGCAGCUUGCUGUUAGUUGGGAAAAAACUGUCACUACUCAAGUCUAGAUGCUUCAGGGAGGAGUUGGUAUUCAGAGCUGGGAUCAGAGAGCUGACCUCUGAUGAACCACAACUCCUCGAUCUGUAUAAAGAAUGAAAGAUGUAAGUUUAUUAGACAAAGUUUGUGCCUGAAAUCAUUCAGUGUUUCAUAAUCUGUUAAGAGCUAAAAAAAAAAAAAAAAAAAAAGGUUCAGAAUGUAUUUGUCACAUCUGCUAUGGCAGGUGGCAUGGAGUAGAGAGAGUGUGGACCCAAAUACAGACAACGGAGAUGGAAUGGAACAUUAACAGAAAGCGUGUUAAUGCAUGCUCAAUCAUCCAGGUAAUCUCCAAAGGUUGAUUCUGUUCAUCUGGACGUAGCGUUUUCAGUGGGAGAAACAUUUUGUCACUCAUCCAAGUGACCUCUUCAGUCUCAGGCUGAAGAAGUCAGCCUGUCACGUUUUACCCUCUUAAAAAAGAGGGUAAAACGUGAGCAGAAGUUAAACAGCAGAAAUAAAUAUACAAAUAGAUAAAAAAUAAAUAAUAAAUAAAAAUGUUUAAAAAAAAACAAAGUGACACUGGCUUUAAAAGCACAAAAACACUCUGCUGUCUAUCUAAAUGUGGGUUUUAGUACUGACUUUAGAGACAAUUAAAAAAAAACAAAAAACAUUCGCCCAAACAAAGUCACAGAUAAACAGUUAAAAAUAUAAACUCAAGAACUGAAGAAAAAUCGUCCUGAUUUUAAACAUCCGCAUCAAGAUAAACUUGCAGAUUUACGAGUCAAAAUGUGUCAAAAAGUCUGUAUCCUUACCUGAGAGUUUCAAUUUACAGUUCGUGAUUGGUCUGUGGGCUACUUGCUGUCUGUGUCAGCUGGCCUUGUAGGAGAGUCUGAUUGGUCUGAAGUGAAAGACCCAGGAGGAAGCGGAGGAACAAGUCCAG
ensembl:lncRNA